AUCUCAUUCUAUUUUAUGGCUGCAGAUUUUCUCUAAAUAUAUUGCACCAAUAAGAAAUCGGUGAGUGAACACUGGUAACUGGUGGCCCAUGGCAAUAGAAUAUUCAUGAGCUGGUCCCCUUCUCCCUUUCAAAGGUCAGGCCUGGUCAGGAGUGAAGAGCAGAGGGGGAAUAGGAAAGUUCUCACGUGGAAGAAGCACCUGGCAUUUACUCUAAGAAAAAGGAUGUUUCCUAAACAGCGAGGCUGUUUUGUUUAGCGAAUCGAAUUCUUCACUGUUUUGGGCCAAAUACACUUUGUUUUCUAAAGCAGAGUCUACUAUUACAGCUGUUCCACAUAAAGCUGAUGCCAUUGUCUUCAUCUCAGCCCCACUGGGAGCGUGCUUCUGCUCUGUGUUCCAAGCAGCAAUAAUGGAUUUAUGGAGAUAUUCACAUACUUCUCCCUAGCCCCUCCCAAUCCCCAGCAGGGUCCCAUUGUUACAGCAUCGCUGGUCAACAUCUCCACACUCUAACAUGCAUCCUGAGCCAAAUGGACCGCUGGUUCCUGACUCAGGUCUAUGAUCUUGGUGUUAUCAACACCAAGUCUAUGAUCUUGGUGUUAUCAACACACCAAGUGUGUCAUCAACACACUAGUCUCAAUAAAUGAGCCAGGCAGCCUCAGAGAAAUGUGGAUUGAUAUAGGAUAAAGCCUUUACACCUUGUGAAGGGAGAGUCUGGUGUUCCUAGAACCAAGGCAUGAGAAAGCUGGUUGAACUGAAUUCCAAGAAGCUGCCAGUACAAAUGAAGUUUUGCCAUGUUGGCCAGGCUGGUCUCAAACUCCUGAUCUCAAGUAAUCUGCCACCUUGGCCUCCCAAAGUGCUGGGAUUACAGCAGUUUGGCUCCAGUUGAAGACUUGGGAUUUUCCUGAAGAUAGAAUUCACCUUGGAGUCAGCUGCUUCUUGUGAACGAACCUCUUGGGGUCCUGAAGUGCCACGGACUGCGGAGAAUUCAGACAGAGGCCAUGUUAAAAAGAACUGUGGUCGCUAGGGGACCCGCAACCAAUUAGAAUGACCUUUCACCCAGGUGCAGUCUGACUACCUUGCACCCGGAUACAGUCUAACCGGACUGAAGUCAGCCAUGAGCAAACCGGGAAGUGAAUAGACCUUAAAGUUCACUGUGGUAACUAAGUUCAAUACAACAUCCUAAAAGGUCUAAGCAUAUUUUAUUUUUAAGGCUUAAAAUAACAUCCAGUUCAACUUCAAAAACAUUGAGUUAACAUGUAAAGACAGCUUUAAAAAAAAAAACUAUGUAAAAUUUCCAUUACAUGAUACGUGCUGUCUUUAAGUAAAGAUAAAAGGGUACAUUUCUUUAAUAUUACAUACCUUGGGACAAAAUAUCAUUUUGUUAUUAAAAACGCUUAUAAUUUUUGAAAUUCAUGCAUUGAUGACUAUUUUUUAAAUGUGUCAAAUGGUUACUUUUUAAAAUAGUCUAGACAUUCUUGUAUAAUCCAGACUGUUUAAUUUCUUGUACUUCACUAGAACUUUUGCAGCGGGCCACAAAAAAUUUGUAAAAAUAUCUGGUG
rnacentral:lncRNA from 13 species